rnacentral:rRNA from 1 species
UACGGAGGGUGCAAGCGUUGCUCGGAAUUAUUGGGCGUAAAGGGCAGGUAGGUGGUCUUAUUUGUCAGGGGUGAAAGCCUUGGGCUCAACUCGAGAAGUGCCCCUGAAACGGUAAGACUAGGGUACUGGAGAGGGUCGUGGAAUUCCCGGUGUAGCGGUGAAAUGCGUAGAGAUCGGGAGGAACACCAGAGGCGAAGGCGGCGACCUGGACAGUUACUGACACUCAACUGCGAAAGCGUGGGGAGCAAACAGG